rnacentral:rRNA from 1 species
UCCCUUCUCCCGGAAUUAACCGAGUAGUAAUACCUGGUGAUUUCAGUGGCGCACGGGUGAGUAACACGUGAAUUACAUGCCCUUCAGUGGGGAAUAGCCCAGGGAAACUUGGAUUAAUGCCCCAUAGUCUCGCAAGAGUAAAGGUGGCCGCAAGGCUGUCGCUGAAGGAUUGGUUCGCGCCCUAUCAGCUUGUUGGUGAGGUAACGGCUCACCAAGGCUACGACGGGUACCUGGUCUGAGAGGACGAUC